UGAGAGCAGCAAGACAGUACUUGCAGGCAGCCAGAGCCGGCCUUGAGCCAGGGCUCCUGCUCAAGGCCGAACAAUACGAAGGGACCCAAUUAUAUAUAUAUAUGUGUGUGUGUGUGUGUGGCUUCUCAAUCGUAAUCGUACCUUCUCAGUUCUCACCCUCAUCUGCUCUCAGGCUUCAUUCAGUGCGCUCCCGCAGACAGUAAUCUCGUUGAGAGCUCUGCUGAUCCCUAACGGCUACUGAAUCCUGAAGAACGGGGAAGUCGGUUCACAAUACCUGCGAGGAUGUAGCUUUGUUCCUCGAUAUCCUCAAGAAACACAGGGAUGGCAUUAUGAUGGCCUGGAAUGCACAACAGGCAAGUAAGGUUUAUAUUUAUCAUAUGAAAAAGCUAAUUGUUUAGUUUCAAGACAAUCGAAAGAAUUCUACUGUAAGAUGCUUCCAUACAGAAUGAGCCCUAAAAGAAUUAGUAAAUUCUAAUUUGAGCAUGCAGACA